rnacentral:rRNA from 17 species
GAUUCCGCUAGUAGUGGCGAGCGAACGCGGAAUAGCCCAAACCAAUGUUGUUACGGCAAUAUUGGGGUUGUAGGACCACGCGAUUUGAUGUUUACAGAAUUAGAACUAUUUGGAAAGAUAGACCGUAGAGGGUGAUAGUCCCGUAUAGGUAAAGUAAAUAAUUGAUAGUGGUAUCCUGAGUAGUGCGGGGCACGUGUAACCCUGUAUGAAUCUGGCGGGACCAUCCGCCAAGGCUAAAUACUCCUGAGAGACCGAUAGUGAACUAGUACCGUGAGGGAAAGGUGAAAAGUACCCUGAAUAAGGGAGUGAAAUAGUACCUGAAACCGUGUGCUUACAAGCGGUCGGAGCUGCAUUUAUGUAGUGACGGCGUGCCUUUUGUAUAAUGAGCCUACGAGUUGCUCCU